AUCCCAGCUACUGAGGAGGCUGAGGCAGGAGAAUCCCUUAAACCCAGGAGGCGGAGUUUGCAUGGAGCCGAGAUUGUGGUAUUGCACUCCAGCCUGGGCAACAAGAAUGAAACUGUCUCAAAAAAAAAAAA